rnacentral:rRNA from 1 species
GCCCUUCCUCCCAACUUAAAGUGCUUUACAAUCCGAAGACCUUCUUCACACACGCGGCAUGGCUGGAUCAGGCUUUCGCCCAUUGUCCAAUAUUCCCCACUGCUGCCUCCCGUAGGAGUCUGGACCGUGUCUCAGUUCCAGUGUGACUGAUCAUCCUCUCAGACCAGUUACGGAUCGUCGCCUUGGUGAGCCAUUACCUCACCAACUAGCUAAUCCGACCUAGGCUCAUCUGAUAGCGCAAGGCCCGAAGGUCCCCUGCUUUCUCCCGUAGGACGUAUGCGGUAUUAGCGUCCCUUUCGAGACGUUGUCCCCCACUACCAGGCAGAUUCCUAGGCAUUACUCACCCGUCCGCCGCUGAAUCAGGGAGCAAGCUCCCUUCAUCCGCUCGACUUGCAUGUGUUAGGCCUGCCGCCAGCGUUCAAU